AACCAAUCGAUUGGCUGAAGAAGAGGAGCAGAACCAUGUGAAGAAGAAAGAUCAAAUUCCUGACUCUAAUUUUUCAGGAAAUACUAGCAUUAGAGAAUCUGCAACCAAAGAUGUGUUGGAUUUGCAGGAAGUAGUCUCACUUUGGAUGCCAUAUCUGGUCCUUCACAUGGGCUUCACUGUUGCAUAAAUUCGACAAAUUCUUCUAGGCUUUCUCUAACACUAGGACGGGUUUUGCCCUUUGAUUUCUUGCUCAAUGAUUCAGAAAUUUCAGGGAAGCAUGCGAUGAUAAACUGGAAUUUGAAUGUAAUUCACACUGUUACUUUUUUUUAAACUUGCAGAUUCUUACUUUCUUUUGGUUUUUAUUUCCAAUUUGUGCUGCAAUUAUUGAAUCAGAAAUGAAAAUGGGAGCUAGUGGAUAUGGGAAGCUUAAACGUAACAUUCUUGAAUUCCCUGUAAGUAUGUCAUCCUGAUUCUGGAAGUAGACAACAGACUCAUCCGGUAGAACUUGCUAAUGGACAAAUUAUUACUUUUGGCACAAGCACAAAAGUACUUGUUCAGAUUACGUCUCAGAUUGAAUGUCAUAAACCAUCUGGCAUUGGUGUCGCUUCAGACCCAAUGGCUCGACUUCAAGGAGGAAAGAAGUUGCCCAUGGAAGAUGUGUGGUGGCCACUUGCUGGUGCUGAUCAGGUUUUGAAAUUCUCAUGUUUUUACAUUUUUUUUAUGCCUUUUUUUAUGGCCAUCUCAAGAGUUCCAAGUUGUAUGCUUGCUAACAUGCAGUUUGGAGUAUUUGAUAUGUGACGGACAUGAUGGACCAAUUGCUGCAAUUUCUGCUAGCAAGUUAGUAUAUUCUAUCUUAGUGAUGGUUUUCGAUUUUCCUUUCUUAGAGGCUGUUGCACUAUGAUGAUGUUUAUUUCUUGUAACCUGCUACAUAGGAUAUUGACUGAGAAGGUUUCAAGUAUCUUGUCUGAUUCGUUCAGAAGGCAGAAUGUUCUAUCGCGUGGUGAUGCUUCGGAUGUUCUCCGAGAUGCAUUUUCACAGACAGAAGCUUGUUUGGAUCACUAUUAUGAGGUUCCAUAACUG